rnacentral:rRNA from 1 species
GACGAACCGUGCGAACGUUGUUCGGAAUCACUGGGCAUAAAGGGCGCGUAGGCGGCUUUUCAAGUCAGGGGUGAAAUCCGGCAGCUCAACUGUCGAAGUGCCCUUGAUACUGAUGAGCUCGAGGGAGGUAGGGGUAUGUGGAACUUCCGGUGGAGCGGUGAAAUGCGUUGAUAUCGGAAGGAACGCCGGUGGCGAAAGCGACGUACUGGACCUCUUCUGACGCUGGAGGCGCGAAAGCUAGGGGAGCAAACGGG